GGUUGAAUAUUAUAUAUUGGCAUAAGUAGGGAGAAAAAAAAAAGAAAGAAAAAAAAGAAAAGUGAAGCCCUCUCCCGAAGGAACCCCUCGCUGCCGUUGCUCACCCUCAAGCCAGAGUCGGCGUCCCCUGGAAGCUAGCCAACCGCACUCCGUCGGUCGAUUUCUUCUAGACGCGUUGCUGCCGAGCAUUGCCAUCAAUGUCCUCGGCCUCGCCGCGCGUUCCUUGCUCGGAUCUGAGUGACUCAGCCCGACGUGCCACCAUCAGCCAUCUCGUCUGGGUCUUCACCGAACGCUGCUACCGUCCCGCAUCGCCAACUUGAGGCUACCAGCGGUCAUUUCUAUUCGCGAGCUGCCAGAUCGAACGAAACCCUGCUAUGCGCUGCUCCUAGUUUGGUCAGUCGUCGGUGUCACACCGCCCUCCGUCCACCGUUCUAGGAUUUUUUUUUUUUUUUUUAGGUGAAGUUUUGUGGUUAUUGGAUUAAUUGUUAGGAUGUCUCUAAUGCCCAUUAAUUCUCAGUUUCAAAGUAACCUUAACCUUGACGUUUUGGCUUCUAGGUCGAGGAUUUUAAGUACUUAAGCAAGCUGUCCAACACCUUAAGCGUGAAUUUGGGUAAGUUUUUUUUGGGGAUUAUGGAAUAGGUUGUGAAUGCUUUGGAAUUGUGCUUAAAAGUUUUAAAAAUUUAAGUAUUGGGUCGAAAUUGAAGGUUGUGUUUCUGGGUUAGGAACUUUAAUUCAAGUUGUCGUUGGUGAUUGAUUUCUUGAAUUAUUUAUGUGGGCUUUUGUGACCAAUUUGAGGUAGGUGGUACUAUUACCGGUGCCUUCGUGCUAGGCGACCUAGAUUAGAUUUACAAAGUUAAUUAAUGGACUUUAGAAGCAUGAUUUUGUCUUUGUGAUAUACUUGUUGCACGACAGUUUUAAGUAUUAUGAGCAUGUUUGAACUUCCAUGUUAUGCUAUGAUCUGUGCGGCAGAAACAGUAUUGAAAUGAUGUAUGUGAUGCAUGAUUAGACCAAUAGGUCAGUUUACCGUCUCGCCUUGAUGUAUGUUUUAUUUUAGAGGACCGACAGGUCUAAUUUCAUGUUUAACGGUGUGCCUUCAGGCCGCUAGACAUGUAUGAAUCGACAGGUUCACGUUCAUGUUACUUUUCCAUGUUUGAUGAUGUGCUUUCGAGCCGCUAGACGUGUGUGAAUCGAUAGGUUCACGUUCAUGUUACUUUUCCAUGUUUGACGGUGUGCCUUUGGGCUGCUAGACAUGCAUGAAUCGACAGGUUCGCGUUCAUGUUUCUUUUUCCAUGUUUGACGGUGUGUCUUCGGGUCGCUAGACAUGUGCGAAUCGACAGGUUUACAUUCAUGUUCCUUUUUCCAUGUUUAACAGUAUGCCAUCAGGCCACUAGACAUGCAAGUCAAGGUAAGGGCAAGGAGACUCGGGCGACUGACAAGAGGAAUCUGUGACAGUGCCAAAGGAACUAGAAACGCUUCCGCAUUUGAAUCUUUAUGUCUUUUUGCAUGUUUUUUUUUCUAUUAUUAUUAUUUUUAUUUAUUUAUUUAUUUUGUGUUAAGGGGUACCCCAGGUCAAACGAUUUGAAAUCUUGAGUUAAAGUCAAAAUAGUUUCUUUGUACA